CUGGUAUUGAUGCUAUUUGGGCAGAGAAAGGUUAGAAGGGCCUGGAGACUGAUUUUAUGUAAUGUUCUUUGCUAAAACCCUAGGAGACUGUCCUGAGAUAAUGAUCUACAGUACAUAGACAUCAUUGGUUAAGCUCAAGUUGUGUGGAUUUUUUCAAAGCGGAUGGAGAAGCAGAGACAAUGUAUGAAUGAAUUUACUUGAGGCAACAGUAAUAGCAGCGUGAAGCAGAGCCACGUGCCUGAAUGUGAGUGGAGUGGGAUGCACUAGAGAGAGAAGUGAAAUCUCACAGCUCUCAGGAAGGAGAAGUUUCACAGUUGGAAUCCCUGUGGCAUCAUAGAGCUAACUACAUCGAGGAAGCUCUUUUCCUUUUCCCUGACAUAGAAACUGCAGUGGCAGUCCGAGCACAAAAUCUCUCCAGGUGUUAGGCUGAGAGCUGCAGCCAGUCAUGCAACUAACGCAGCCCUUUGGACCUGCUAAACUCAUCGAUGGCCCAUUGGAUAAGCUCCACUGUUCACCAGAACAGGUCACAAAGUCAUUAAAGCAAAAGAGAUAUAUUUUUAAGUGUAAUAGUACUUAAAUCAUAGCGAUUUACUAUGAACUUAUCCAUAAAAAGCAACAUGUACCAAUUAAUAAUUUCUUUGAAAUUUGAGGAAAUAAAAUGUUCUAAACCCU